AUUGAACGCUGGCGGCAGGCUUAACACAUGCAAGUCGAGCGGAGAUGAGGUGCUUGCACCUUAUCUUAGCGGCGGACGGGUGAGUAAUGCUUAGGAAUCUGCCUAUUAGUGGGGGACAACAUUCCGAAAGGAAUGCUAAUACCGCAUACGUCCUACGGGAGAAAGCAGGUGAUCUUCGGACCUUGCGCUAAUAGAUGAGCCUAAGUCGGAUUAGCUAGUUGGUGGGGUAAAGGCCUACCAAGGCGACGAUCUGUAGCGGGUCUGAGAGGAUGAUCCGCCACACUGGGACUGGGACACGGCCCAGACUCCUACGGGAGGCAGCAGUGGGGAAUAUUGGACAAUGGGGGGAACCCUGAUCCAGCCAUGCCGCGUGUGUGAAGAAGGCCUUAUGGUUGUAAAGCACUUUAAGCGAGGAGGAGGCUACUGAGACUAAUACUCUUGGAUAGUGGACGUUACUCGCAGAAUAAGCACCGGCUAACUCUGUGCCAGCCGCCGCGGUAAGAC
rnacentral:rRNA from 1 species